rnacentral:rRNA from 1 species
GAUGAACGCUGGCGGCGUGCCUAAUACAUGCAAGUCGAGCGAACGGACGAGAAGCUUGCUUCUCUGAUGUUAGCGGCGGACGGGUGAGUAACACGUGGAUAACCUACCUAUAAGACUGGGAUAACGUCGGGAAACCGGAGCUAAUACCGGAUAAUAUUUUGAACCGCAUGGUUCAAAAGUGAAAGACGGUCUUGCUGUCACUUAUAGAUGGAUCCGCGCUGCAUUAGCUAGUUGGUAAGGUAACGGCUUACCAAGGCAACGAUGCAUAGCCGACCUGAGAGGGUGAUCGGCCACACUGGAACUGAGACACGGUCCAGACUCCUACGGGAGGCAGCAGUAGGGAAUCUUCCGCAAUGGGCGAAAGCCUGACGGAGCAACGCCGCGUGAGUGAUGAAGGUCUUCGGAUCGUAAAACUCUGUUAUUAGGGAAGAACAUAUGUGUAAGUAACUGUGCACAUCUUGACGGUACCUAAUCAGAAAGCCACGGCUAACUACGUG